GAUGAACGCUGGCGGCGUGCCUAAUACAUGCAAGUCGAGCGAACAGACGAGGAGCUUGCUCCUCUGACGUUAGCGGCGGACGGGUGAGUAACACGUGGAUAACCUACCUAUAAGACUGGGAUAACUUCGGGAAACCGGAGCUAAUACCGGAUAAUAUAUUGAACCGCAUGGUUCAAUAGUGAAAGACGGUUUUGCUGUCACUUAUAGAUGGAUCCGCGCCGCAUUAGCUAGUUGGUAAGGUAACGGCUUACCAAGGCAACGAUGCGUAGCCGACCUGAGAGGGUGAUCGGCCACACUGGAACUGAGACACGGUCCAGACGCCUACGGGAGGCAGCAGUAGGGAAUCUUCCGCAAUGGGCGAAAGCCUGACGGAGCAACGCGGCGUGAGUGAUGAAGGUGUCCGGAUCGUAAAACUCUGUUAUUAGGGAAGAACAAAUGUGUAAGUAACUAUGCACGUCUUGACGGUACCUAAUCAGAAACCCACGGCUAACUACGUG
rnacentral:rRNA from 1 species